UACAGAGGUGGCAAGCGUUGUUCGGAAUCACUGGGCGUAAAGCGCACGUAGGCGGAUUGCUAAGUCAGGGGUGAAAUCCUGGAGCUCAACUCCAGAACUGCCUUUGAUACUGGGUAUCUCGAGUCCGAGAGAGGUGAGUGGAAUUCCGAGUGUAGAGGUGAAAUUCGUAGAUAUUCGGAGGAACACCAGUGGCGAAGGCGGCUCACUGGCUCGGUACUGACGCUGAGGUGCGAAAGCGUGGGGAGCAAACAGGG
rnacentral:rRNA from 1 species